rnacentral:sRNA from 1 species
GGAAAAUCCAAGUUGGAGUGGUGCCUGAUACAGGUGAAAAUCAGUUUGCAGCUACUGGAAGAGAGAGGAGCAUAUCAAUUGUUUAAAACAAAAAGCCAGCGUUAACAAGCUCAAAGAAAUGAAGUUGAAAGGAAUAGAUGUAGCUCCUGAAUAGAAGCGAAAGUCCAACAUGGUUCCAUUAAAAUGACUUCUCAGCGUUCUCUCCCUGCAGAUGACUUCGGUAUCUACUACGUCCUGACUGUCUGCAAAGUUUUUUUCAACAAGACGCACUGACCUGGAACAACGAAAUUCACUGCUCCUUUUGUGAAACCAAGCAAGAAACUGCUGUGAGGGCCAAUAUUUCCAAAGCACCAAAAAUAAUUAUUUUUCACCUAAAAAGGGUACACACAUUCAGGGUACAACGAAAAGGAAGCUGAGAACGGAUAUUCAUUACCCACUCACUAACUUGGACCUCGCUCCUUAUAUUUGCUCAAUUUGCCGGAAAUAUCCUAAAUACAGCCUCUGUGCAGUGGUGAUGAUAGUCAAUGGGCACAACAUAUAAGUAGUUACAAUGAAAUGAGAAGCAAUAUAGCAGUCAGGCUAUAUGCAUGAUUUAACAACAAAAUUAUCACUUCCUUUUAAUUUAGUAUAAGGGACAAUUUAAAAAGCAUUUCUUGGUCCUAUCAUUUCUGUUCCAGUAG